UACGAAGGGUGCAAGCGUUAAUCGGAAUUACUGGGCGUAAAGCGUGCGUAGGCGGUUUUUUAAGUCUGCUGUGAAAGCCCUGGGCUCAACCUGGGAAUGGCGGUGGAUACUGAGAAGCUGGAGUACGGUAGAGGAAGGUGGAAUUCCCGGUGUAGCGGUGAAAUGCGUAGAGAUCGGGAGGAACAUCAGUGGCGAAGGCGGCCUUCUGGACCAGUACUGACGCUGAGGCACGAAAGCGUGGGGAGCAAACAGG
rnacentral:rRNA from 1 species